CACGUGAAUGCAGCAGCGGGCAGGGGUGAGCUCAGCCCUCUAGUCCUCGCUGUCUGUAUCGAUGAAGUUGUUUCAAAGAUGGCGGAUUUCCUGCCGUCCCGCUCCGUUUUAUCUGUAUGUUUUCCUAACUGUCUCCUCACAAGCGGCGAGGCAGAACAGUUGCGGAAAUCUAAAGAGAUAGAUAAGUGUAUUAAUCGAGAUAAGACCUAUGUAAAAAGGCUAGUAAAGAUCCUAUUACUUGGAGCAGGCGAGAGCGGCAAGUCCACUUUCCUUAAGCAGAUGCGCAUUAUCCAUGGGCAGGACUUCGAUCAGAAGGCCAAAGAAGAAUUCAGAGCCACGAUUUUUAGUAAUGUUAUAAAAGGUAUCCGAGUAUUGGUGGAUGCUCGAGAGAAACUACACAUCCCAUGGGGCAACCUGUCGAACCAGCGGCACGGAGACACCAUGAUGGCUUUUGACACUCGGUCAGCGAUGGCUCAUGGUCACGGCAUGGUGGAGCCCAAAGUUUUUCAGCACUACCUGCCGUCCAUCCGCGCCCUGUGGGCCGACCAGGGGAUCCAGAAUGCCUAUGACCGCCGCAGGGAGUUCCAGCUGGGGGAGUCAGUCAAGUAUUUCCUGGACAAUUUGGAAAAGCUCGGACAGUCGGACUACCUCCCCAGCCAACAGGACAUCCUCUUGGCCAGAAAACCCACUAAGGGCAUCCAUGAGUACGACUUUGAGAUUAAGAAUGUGCCCUUCAAGAUGGUGGACGUGGGCGGUCAGCGCUCUGAGAGGCGGCGCUGGUUCGAAUGCUUUGACUCAGUCACUUCCAUCCUCUUCCUUGUCUCCUCUUCUGAAUAUGAUCAGGUGCUAAUGGAGGACCGGCAGACCAACCGGCUGAGCGAGUCCCUUAACAUUUUUGAGACCAUCGUCAACAACCGAGUUUUCAGUAACGUCUCUAUCAUCCUGUUCCUGAACAAGACGGACCUGCUGGAGGAUAAGGUGAAGCAGGUGUCUAUCAAAGACUACUUCCCCGAGUUCUCGGGCGAUCCCACGAGCCUGGCUGAUGUCCAGCGCUUCCUGGUGGAAUGCUUUCGCAAAAAGCGCCGUGAGCAGCAGCAGAAACCGCUGUACCACCACUUCACCACUGCCAUCAACACUGAGAACAUCCGGCUGGUGUUCCGUGAUGUCAAGGACACCAUCCUUCACGACAACCUCAAACAGCUGAUGCUGCAGUGAGGGGACUGACAAGGAGGAGGAGGAGGAGGGAUGGGUGGAGGCAGACGGAAAGUUGGUGUGAAGGUGCCUUUUUCCUUCCCCUCGCUGCCACCACCAGCCUGUAAGGGGAGCAGGCAGUGUCACUUUUGAACUUUGACUGUGUAUUAAAGCCACCACUACUACCCCCCCCCCCCACGCUUGCUCUCUACCUUAUUGAGCUUGAUCACUGUGACUUAUAACAGCUGCCUUUGGCUCAGAGCCCAAACCACCCUCUGACCCUUCAAACCACUGUAAAUGACCUCUAACCCCCACUCUCUGCCCCCCGUCCACACUCUGCAGUGGACCUCCCCGACAUAUUUUAUGCUAAUCUAAUAGACAUCGAGGAGCUACUGUCUCAACUGUUGCUCUGGUGCAGCAGCUGAAGGCAGAAAACAGUUCUUCCUACAGCUCAGUUCAGUGACAUUAGUUAGACAAGUGUCACAUGAUUAGUUGCCAGUUCUUUGGGUCACACAUUUCAGCUUUAUUUUUGUUUGCUUCACAUUCAUUGUGUGUUCCUCUUUUCUCCUCACAUUUGCAGGAUGAAUCAGUUUGAUACUACACUUACUUCAGCCCUGAUAUUUUUACAUUCACAUUUAGAAUUAGCUUUGAGUAAAUGAUUGCCUUAAUCAGGGACAUGAAGGGGUAAUGGACUUCUUGAGAGACAAGUUAGAUUGCUAUUGUCCCAGAUAGCUAUAUUAGCAUCCAGUGUCCCCCAGACCAACAAGGAGCCUGCUGUCACUCAACGUGUGUGCUAGCAUGAAGCAGUUAAAACAUGGCUGAUUUUGGUGUGUGCGUUUUAACAACUUU